rnacentral:rRNA from 1 species
UACGGAGGAUGCGAGCGUUAUCCGGAUUUAUUAGGUUUAAAGGGUGCGUAGGCGGGACUUUAAGUCAGUGGUGAAAUCCUGCGACUCAACCGUAGAACUGCCAUUGAUACUGAAGACCUUGAGUUCAGCUGAGGUAGGCGGAAUAUGUUAUGUAGCGGUGAAAUGCAUAGAUAUAACAUAGAACACCGAUUGCGAAGGCAGCUUACCAAACUGUAACUGACGCUGAUGCACGAAAGCGUGGGUAGCGAACAGG